AGAUUUGCAGCUCCUGACAGUUAACUAUAAGGCCCGCCCCCUUUAUCAAGUCUACCUCGUUUAUGAUUGUCAGAUAAAAAUUGAUCAAAUCCUGAAAUUCUGAUUUUGGGGGAUUGGGUGUGCACUUGGCAUAUACUCGGUUAGAAUGCUCCACCUGCUGCCCCUCCCACCUGUGCUUCCCCGCCUCCAUCACAGGUAUAUAUUUUCUGGUUCAGAAUCACAGAUCUGUGCUGUGGCUGCGUUCAUUCGAGGUCAGCAGUUCACACAGACACUACCAGUCUGAAGCAUCCUGCCUUGGGUCUGUGAAGAGUGACACAAUCAAAAUGGAUCCUAAAAAAUCCAAAACGGAACCAAGACCUUCAGACUCAAAGGUUCAACAGAGACAUGGACCUGGGUCUGGAUCCAGCUGUGUGUCCUCCAAGAGUGAUGACUCAAAGGGUUUGACUCCUAACUUACAAGGCAUAAGUUCAGGAGUGGAACAGUAAGUAUUUGUCAGAGCCAACGGGGGUUGGAUAAUAGUUCAGAUUAUCAAUAGUUUUCAGCUGAAUGACUUGAGGGGCUCUACCAUGAAAAUUCGUCUUUUUGAGGUUUUAAGUACAUUAUACUCUUCAUUCCUCACUAUAAAGAAGCUCAAAGUGUUUUUUUUUAUUUGUUCAUGCAUUUAAGAGUAAUCCUCUAAAAACCUGCGCUGUCUGCAGCAGCCCCUCCCAUACCCACGAAAACGAGCGGAUGGAAACAUGCUGACGUAAGCACGAUGCCAACUGCUCCCUCCAGGAAGAGUCUGCUCUGAUAGCACUCUCCCCAGUCUUACACGAACACUCAAUAUCUCCACUGAACCAGCGGUGAUCAGCUAAAAAAUGUUCAUGUUGUUCUGUAAACCACUGUAGCAAUGGCCAGACCUACUAAAGGCAGAUAUAUUGUACGUGCAUCCAUCUUUGAAGAAGUUUGGAUUAUUUUCGUGGGUCAAAUGCAGACACACUGCCACAGACUCUAGGAUGACAUCAUGAAUUCGACAGCAGCCACAUACAGUGGCAGGUGGA